AGAGUUUGAUCCUGGCUCAGAUUGAACGCUGGCGGCAUGCCUUACACAUGCAAGUCGAACGGCAGCACGGGAGCAAUCCUGGUGGCGAGUGGCGAACGGGUGAGUAAUAUAUCGGAACGUGCCCAAUCGUGGGGGAUAACGCAGCGAAAGCUGUGCUAAUACCGCAUACGAUCUACGGAUGAAAGCGGGGGACUCAGCAAUGGGCCUCGCGCGAAUGGAGCGGCCGAUAUCAGAUUAGCUAGUUGGUGGGGUAAAGGCUCACCAAGGCGACGAUCUGUAGCUGGUCUGAGAGGACGACCAGCCACACUGGAACUGAGACACGGUCCAGACUCCUACGGGAGGCAGCAGUGGGGAAUUUUGGACAAUGGGCGCAAGCCAGAUCCAGCAAUGCCGCGUGCAGGAUGAAGGCCUUCGGGUUGUAAACUGCUUUUGUACGGAACGAAAAGACUCCUUCUAAUAAAGGGGGUUCAUGACGGUACCGUAAGAAUAAGCACCGGCUAACUACGUGCCAGCAGCCGCGGUAAUACGUAGGGUGCGAGCGUUAAUCGGAAUUACUGGGCGUAAAGCGUGCGCAGGCGGUUU
rnacentral:rRNA from 1 species